UACUAUAGUUACUUAUAUUCAGUUAACUCAUCAGAUUUGAAUAGAGGAAGACAACAAUUUCUACAACACAUCCAAUUUCUUUACUCUCCUCUCCUUACGUUUUCUUUCUAGGACUUUCUUUUCGGUUUGCUUUGGGGGAAUUAUUUUUUGAUUUCUUCUUGCCUUUUGGGAUUCCAAGCUGUCGAUUUUGUGGGAAUUGCAAUUAUGCGUGCAAUAUUAUAUUCUCAUGUCUGAAAUUUUUAUUUUUCUGUUUUGUGCAAUUCCUUUGUAGAUUUGUGGUUAUCAUAAUUCUCAUAAUUCAGAGUGAUAAAGUGAUAAACUGACCGACUGUGAACUGAUAAAGUGAACUAUAACUCUCAUAAUUCUCAUUUAGACAUUUUAAUAAACUGAUAAAGUGAACUAUAACCAUUUUAUGCCUUUUCAGCAUUUUCGAUUAACUUUUUUCCACCAGUUUUUUAUUAUUCCUAUGUUUCUUCUUCUAGUGAAUCUUUCAUUCCUUUCUCUGUUUCAUAUAUUUACUUGUGUUUUUCCUUAGCUGUAUUAGUUUUCUUUGGUUCUCCCAGGUAUCCACAGAAACGGAAACGCAUUCAAACAAUUAUGACUGAUACAAUGAUGGACAUUCCGGUAGAUACAUAUCCCACUGUAUGCUAUCUAAAUCAAUAUUUUACUUUUUUUUAUAUCAUUCUAUUCAAAAUUUACAACAGAGUGUGAUUGCUCCAGUUGAAUUUUGUCCACAGGUUGUCGUGUAUUCCAUUAAAUGUCAUUCGUUUUCUUUUUGUUGUCUUUUUUUUAAGGAAAUUUCUAUUCGUCUUCUAUUUGAUUUCGACGAUGGAUUUCCUUUCUCAUUCUUAUGACUCGAUUUCAUUGUGAUUUCAUAUUCCGAUUUCUAUGUGAUUUCAUUAUUUCGAUUUCAUUGUGAUUUCAUUAUUCCGAAUACAGAUCGAUUACAGCAUGAUUCCGUUUACGAAUGAUUUCUUUUAUCUGACUACGUUUUUCUGUGCGAUUACUUACAUUAAUUCUGUCUGUUGGUGAAGUUCAAUUACAACUAAGGUUUGAGCUUUAAAUUUGAUAGCGUUAAUGUUCUUGAGUAUUUUUUUAGAAUACUAUCCUAUAUUUUUUUUACGGAAUAAUGAUUCGUGUAUGGGUCGCCUAACGGGCCUCGAACUUCACUGGCUAGGGUUUCGUUCAGACCAGUAUUCAUAUUCAUAUUCAUAUCCAAUACGAAUAUGAGAACAGAAGCAAUUAUGGAUAGAAUUUUGGUGAUAAAUAUCUAUCCCAAAAGUGUUGAGGAGUUCAACCGAUCGACCCGAAAUACGAAAAGAUAUUGUCAGACAAAAAGACAUUAUUAGCAGUAGUAAAGUAGUAUUUAAUGAGAUUUUAAAUGUUUAUUACCUGUAGACAUCAAUCAAUCAGAUUUUUGAACAGAAAAUUAAAUAUAUUACUGUAGUUGACGAGGGG
rnacentral:lncRNA from 1 species